GACGUAGGGCGCGAGCGUUGUCCGGAUUUAUUGGGCGUAAAGAGCUCGUAGGCGGCUUGUUGCGUCGACCGUGAAAACCCGUGGCUCAACUGCGGGCUUGCGGUCGAUACGGGCAGGCUAGAGUUCGGUAGGGGAGACUGGAAUUCCUGGUGUAGCGGUGAAAUGCGCAGAUAUCAGGAGGAACACCGGUGGCGAAGGCGGUUCUCUGGGCCUGUACUGACGCUGAGGAGCGAAAGCGUGGGGAGCGAACAGG
rnacentral:rRNA from 1 species